GCUCAGGUCCUAUGCAAAGAUGGCUUUUCAAACCCUGUCAGGUCCGGAAGGAAGCAGCAGUAGAUUAGUUAUUCUUGUGCCGUAGUGUACCUGGGCUCU
rnacentral:SRP_RNA from 1 species